rnacentral:lncRNA from 1 species
AUGUUUGAAAGCAGAGGUGUCAUUUGGUCUCUGUUUCUCAUAAAAUCUGACACAAGCAGCUGCACCAGACUCCUGAUGAGCUCUCCCAAGGAGCCAGACAUUCAUCAGUGGUUACAUCAGCCUUUGCAGCACCAGCGAGAUGGACUCUGUAAGCUGUGUCUAUCCUUCAGGGUCUUCUUCUGCACCCUACAGAUAAUGACCUUGAUUCAAAAUUAUACUGUCUAUCUCCAAAUGAAUGGAUCAGUCUUCGAAGAAAUCCAUCCCACUUCUUUACCAGGACAAAUGCUGGAUAAAUCCGAGAGAAGUACAUGGCAUGGAUGA